rnacentral:rRNA from 1 species
CCUACGGGAGGCAGCAGUGAGGAAUAUUGGUCAAUGGACGCAAGUCUGAACCAGCCAUGCCGCGUGCAGGAAGACGGCUCUAUGAGUUGUAAACUGCUUUUGUACGAGGGUAAACGCAGAUACGCGUAUCUGUCUGAAAGUAUCGUACGAAUAAGGAUCGGCUAACUCCGUGCCAGCAGCCGCGGUAAUACGGAGGAUUCAAGCGUUAUCCGGAUUUAUUGGGUUUAAAGGGUGCGUAGGCGGUCGGAUAAGUUAGGGGUGAAAUCCCGAGGCUCAACUUCGGAAUUGCCUCUGAUACUGUUCGGCGAGAGAGUAGUUGCGGUAGGCGGAAUGUAUGGUGUAGCGGUGAAAUGCUUAGAGAUCAUACAGAACACCGAUUGCGAAGGCAGCUUACCAAGCUACUUCUGACGUUGAGGCACGAAAGCGUGGGGAGCAAACAGGAUUAGAUACCCCAGUAGUC